CAGUAAAUAGUUUAAUAUAAAAAAUUUUAAUUUUGGGGAUUAAUGAUGAGUUUUACUCUUUACUGA
rnacentral:tRNA from 1 species